GAUGAACGCUGGCGGCGUGCCUAAUACAUGCAAGUCGAGCGAACGGACGAGAAUCUUGCUUCUCUGAUGUUAGCGGCGGACGGGUGAGUAACACGUGGAUAACCUACCUAUAAGACUGGGAUAACUUCGGGAAACCGGAGCUAAUACCGGAUAAUAUUUUGAACCGCAUGGUUCAAAAGUGAAAGACGGUCUUGCUGUCACUUAUAGAUGGAUCCGCGCUGCAUUAGCUAGUUGGUAAGGUAACGGCUUACCAAGGCAACGAUGCAUAGCCGACCUGAGAGGGUGAUCGGCCACACUGGAACUGAGACACGGUCCAGACUCCUACGGGAGGCAGCAGUAGGGAAUCUUCCGCAAUGGGCGAAAGCCUGACGGAGCAACGCCGCGUGAGUGAUGAAGGUCUUCGGAUCGUAAAACUCUGUUAGUAGGGAAGAACAUAUGUGUAAGUAACUGUGCACAUCUUGACGGUACCUAAUCAGAAAGCCACGGCUAACUACGUG
rnacentral:rRNA from 1 species